rnacentral:rRNA from 1 species
GAGUUUGAUCGUGGCUCAGGAUGAACGCUGGCGGCGUGCCUAAUACAUGCAAGUCGAACGAACAGAUAAGGAGCUUGCUCCUUUGACGUUAGCGGCGGACGGGUGAGUAACACGUGGGUAACCUACCUAUAAGACUGGAAUAACUCCGGGAAACCGGGGCUAAUGCCGGAUAACAUGUUGAACCGCAUGGUUCUACAGUGAAAGACGGUCUUGCUGUCACUUAUAGAUGGACCCGCGCCGUAUUAGCUAGUUGGUGGGGUAACGGCCUACCAAGGCGACGAUACGUAGCCGACCUGAGAGGGUGAUCGGCCACACUGGAACUGAGACACGGUCCAGACUCCUACGGGAGGCAGCAGUAGGGAAUCUUCCGCAAUGGGCGAAAGCCUGACGGAGCAACGCCGCGUGAGUGAUGAAGGUCUUCGGAUCGUAAAGCUCUGUUGUUAGGGAAGAACAAUGUGUAAGUAACUGUGCAUAUCUUGACGGUACCUAACCAGAAAGCCACGGCUAACUACGUGCCAGCCGCCGCGGUAACUACCG